UACGUAGGGUGCAAGCGUUAUCCGGAUUUAUUGGGCGUAAAGGGCUCGUAGGCGGUUCGUCGCGUCCGGUGUGAAAGUCCAUCGCUUAACGGUGGAUCCGCGCCGGGUACGGGCGGGCUUGAGUGCGGUAGGGGAGACUGGAAUUCCCGGUGUAACGGUGGAAUGCAUAGAUAUCACGCAGAACUCCGAUUGCGAAGGCAGCAUACCGGCGCCCAACUGACGCUCAGGCACGAAAGCGUGGGUAUCGAACAGG
rnacentral:rRNA from 1 species